GACGAACGCUGGCGGCGUGCUUAACACAUGCAAGUCGAACGGAAAGGCCCUGCUUUUGUGGGGUGCUCGAGUGGCGAACGGGUGAGUAACACGUGAGUAACCUGCCCUUGACUUUGGGAUAACUUCAGGAAACUGGGGCUAAUACCGGAUAGGAGCUCCUGCUGCAUGGUGGGGGUUGGAAAGUUUCGGCGGUUGGGGAUGGACUCGCGGCUUAUCAGCUUGUUGGUGGGGUAGUGGCUUACCAAGGCUUUGACGGGUAGCCGGCCUGGGAGGGUGACCGGCCACAUUGGGACUGAGAGACGGACCAGAGUGCUACGGGAGGCAGCAGUGGGGAAUAUUGCACAAUGGGCGGAAGCCUGAUGCAGCAACGCCGCGUGCGGGAUGACGGCCUUCGGGUUGUAAACCGCUUUCGCCUGUGACGAAGCGUGAGUGACGGUAAUGGGUAAAGAAGCACCGGCUAACUACGUG
rnacentral:rRNA from 1 species